GAUGAACGCUAGCGGCAGGCUUAACACAUGCAAGUCGAGGGGCAGCGUGGAGCAGCAAUGCUCUGACGGCGACCGGCGGAAGGGUGCGUAACACGUGAGCGACUUGCCCGUCACAGGGGGAUAACCGGCGGAAACGGCGACUAAUACCCCAUAUGAUGCGAUGCUGCAUGGCAUUGCAUUGAAAGAUUCAUCGGUGGCGGAUAGGCUCGCGGGACAUUAGCUAGACGGCGGGGCAACGGCCCACCGUGGCGACGAUGUCUAGGGGGUUCUGAGAGGAAGGCCCCCCCANACUGGGACUGAGACACGGCCCAGACUCCUACGGGAGCAGCAGUGA
rnacentral:rRNA from 1 species